CCUACGGGAGGCAGCAGUGAGGAAUAUUGGUCAAUGGCCGUAAGGCUGAACCAGCCAAGUAGCGUGAGGGAAGACUGCCCUAUGGGUUGUAAACCUCUUUUAUGCGGGGAUAAAGGUGUCCACGUGUGGAUGUUUGCAGGUACCGCAUGAAUAAGGACCGGCUAAUUCCGUGCCAGCAGCCGCGGUAAUACGGAAGGUCCGGGCGUUAUCCGGAUUUAUUGGGUUUAAGGGGUGCGCAGGCGGAUUUUUAAGUCAGCGGUCAACUCGUGGGGCUCAACCCCAUCCAGCCGUUGAGACUGGGGAUCUAGAGUGUGCGAGAGGUAUGCGGAAUUCGUGGUGUAGCGGUGAAAUGCUUAGAUAUCACGAAGAACCCCGAUUGCGAAGGCAGCUUACUAAACUGUGACUGACAUUGAUGCUCGAAAGUGUGGGUAUCAAACAGGAUUAGAUACCCGGGUAGUC
rnacentral:rRNA from 1 species